GCAAAUCAGACCUGGUAGAGCAUGAGAUUCUUAAUCUCAGGGUUGUGGGUUUGAGUCCCACCUUGAGCA